GUGCUCGCUUGGGCAGCACAUAUACUAGAAUUGGAACGAUACAGAGAUUAGCAUGGCCCCUGUGCAAGGAUGACAUGCAAUUUUUUUUAAGAUUUAUUUUAUUUUU